UGUAGGCCUUGCUGAAGCCUGGACUCCAGUAGGCCGGCAGGCCCCAAGCAAGCAAGGAAGGAGGCAGGCAGAGUGGCUACCACAGUUUUCUGCAGCAGACGCUCUGCCCAGGCCAGCCCAGCCUUUGGCAGGUAGAAUCACUGGUACACUUUGACGGUGCCUGAGCGUCACAUCCCUGCGGGAACAGAAGAUAAUUUCAACUUUGUGUGAUAGAGACUCUAAACUUCUUAUCCGCUCUCCUUGUUAAUCUUUUCAUCGGUAAACUGAACAUGCCCCUUUCCUUCAGCCUUGAAUUUCACUGACUUACAGAAAGCAGCUAUAGAAAAGACCCAGUAGGACAUCUACUUUGUACCUCACAGUUUAUUCUUUAGUAUUUUGUUUUGUCUAAUUUCUUGCUCCACUUCACAUGGGAGACUUAAAGUCCACAGUCUGAAAAAGGCCAUUGUUAUCCCAAUGUUGUAUCUGAAUGGAGCCAUUUCUCAUGCUACUGUAACCUUCCCGCCAACAGCAGCGAAUGACAGCAACAAGGACCAAGUUCCCUUCAAAUUUGGCAGGAUUUCCCACCCAGACACCUGGAACACUGGAUUUAAGCCCCAACAAGUUGUUAUUAUUCUUCAUUUGAAAUGUGCAUGUACAUCUUGGCUGCAAAGCAAGCCAAUCUUUAUUUAGGUUCUCAAAAGAGAUGGUCAUUGGAAACCCUUUUAACACAAUAAAUUAUUCAUACAUGCA